GACGAACGCUGGCGGCGUGCUUAACACAUGCAAGUCGAACGAAGUGGCGAACGGGUGAGUAACGCGUAAUCAACCUGCCCUUCAGUGGGGGACAACAGUUGGAAACGACUGCUAAUACCGCACACUGAAGGAGGCGAUUGCGUCUGAUUAGCGAGUUGGAGGGGUAACGGCCAACCAAGGCGAUGAUCAGUAGCCGGUCUGAGAGGAUGAACGGCCACAUUGGGGCUGAGACACGGCCCAGACUCCUACGGGAGGCAGCAGUGGGGAAUCUUUCGCAAUGGACGAAAGUCUGACGGAGCAACGCCGCGUGAGUGAUGACGGCCUUCGGGUUGUAAAGCUCUGUUAAUCGGGACGCGGUACCGGAAUAGAAAGCCACGGCUAACUACGUGCCAGCCGCCGCGGUAAUAC
rnacentral:rRNA from 1 species